rnacentral:rRNA from 1 species
AGCGAACGCUGGCGGCAGGCCUAACACAUGCAAGUCGAACGGCAGCACCGUAAGUGCUUGCGCUUACGGGUGGCGAGUGGCGGAAGGGUCAGGAAUACAUCGGAACCUACUUUUUCGGGGGGGAUAACGUAGGGAAACUUACGCUAAUACCGCAUACGACCUACGGGUGAAGGCAGGGGAUCUUUUGACCUUGUGGGAUUGAAUGAGCCGAUGUCGGAUUAGCUAGUUGGCGGGGUAAAGGCCAAGCAAGGCGACGAUCGGUAGCUGGACUGAGAGGAUGGUCGCCCACCCGGGAGGGGAGACAGGGACCAGACUCCUGCGGUAGGGAGCAGUCGGGAAUCUUAGGCAAUGGGGGCGAGCCUGAUACAGCGAGACGGCGUCUGUGGAGAAGACGCUCGGUUUGGGAAGCCCUUUUGUUGGGAGAGAAACGCAGCCGCUUGAUACGACGCGGUACUGACGGUACCGGGAGAAUAAGCACCGGCUAACUACGUG